rnacentral:lncRNA from 1 species
AGAUUCUUGUAUCUGAGAAACUGACCCAUCAUGGACAAAAUUUCAAGACCAAGGAGAAAGAAUGCCAUCUGGAAUUAAAGGAAGCAUGGCCCAGGCUCCAGCCGUGAAUCAUCCUGGGGGCCCAGUGCUUCUUCCUUCUAAUUGUUCCUUCAAGAUAAAAGGUGAGACCUCUAGCCAAUGGCAUGACCCGGUGCUUUCCAGAUUCUUUCUGAUGCCAUGUGUAUUUAUAGGAAUGUGUAUAAUUAUUUCAUCAUGUGAUAUAUUUAAAACUAUGCCAGGAUCAAGAUAUAUUUUACCUGAGCAAGAGUUAGUCUUUUAG